UUCUAUUCUUCUUCGUUUUCUCUCUGGCGAUUCUGAGAAACAUUUCUGAAGUCGUGAAAUCAAAAAGAAACUUAGGGGAAACAAUUAUCUAGUUUGAUAGAUGAAGAAGGGGUGAUUUUUCUGUGAAUAUUUGAAGAAGAAGACGGUUUUGAUAAUGAAUCGAAAUCAGUUAGUCUAUAUUAACAACGAACGAUUUCAAGGAUGAACUAGUGGAUUGUGGAUUACAAGGUAGGCGUGGCUUGACAUCAAAUCAGGUGGGAAUUCUGUAAUCUUCUUGUAAUCAUUAAGCUUUCUUUGAUAUGCGAGCAUGAUGUAUUAUUCAUGUAUUCUGUAUGUACAAAUAUUCCAAUGAAUGUAAAUGUGUGUUUAAUAUGUGUUGUGUGAAUCCCCAGCAAGGAGUGACCGUGUUUUCCCCAUGGCUUCUUGUUAAGUUCUAUGUAGGCCGGGGAAAUCCGGUUGAAUAUUACGCACUUUACUUUCUUAGUAGACCGGGGAAAGCCGGUUGAAUAUUACGCAUUUUUAAUUUUACUAUGUUAGCAGGUCGGGGUAAGCCGGUCGAAUGUUAUAUAGUAGGCCGGGGUAAGCCGGUUGAAUGUUAUAUAUACUAUUUUAUUUUGGGG